rnacentral:tRNA from 1 species
GGCCUAGUAGCUCAGCUGGCAGAGCGUUCGCGGUACUAAAGCGAGGGUGGCAACCAUGCGUGGGUUCGAAUACCACCGGGGCCA